AUCUCAGAUUUUAGUUACACUAGGAAGCUGCUAACAGUCACAGGGCUAGAAGAACAAAGGUAAAACAUAAGCUGUUACCAGAGCCCAGCAGUCAAGGCUCCCUGGCUUGAUCUGGUCCAGCAGAACUAGGACCACCGGAAUACCACCUGAAGCAAAGAGAGGUGGGAAUGAUUCUCCGGCCAUCUACCCAAUACCCAUCCUCCAAUCUCAAGCCAGUGUCCCCACGGCCUUAAACAGGGACCAAUGCCUGUUGCUAAGGCUAUCUGGGAAAUGCAGAUUUCAGAGAAAAGGCUAUGACUGGAUGUGACAGCAAAGAAAGACAGGAUCUUAUUAUGUUGCCCAGGCUGGCCUCGAACUUCUGGGCUCAAGUGAUCCUCCAGGCUUAGCUUCCCAAGUAGCUGGAACUAGAGGUGUGCAUCAUCCUGCCUGACUCAAGACUUCCAUUUCUGAAACACCUGUUGUCUCCAGAACUGAACACAGUGCCUGGCACAAAAUCAACGGAAUUGGAAACUUGAACACUGGAAACCAAGGCUGCAGUUUUCACAAUCUUCCCCACAUGAUGCUUGUGCAUGCUCAAGUUUGAGAACAACUGAUCCACAUAAUGUGACUUUUUUUUUUCCUUAUGGUCUCCUCAUCUAACAAAUCAACAGGAAUGUAUUGAUGCUGGACAGUCAUUCACUGGUCCACUCAAGCAACAUUGACUGAGUGUCAGGUACAGAGGUAACUGCACUGAAAAAAAUACUCAAGGUGCCUACAGUUGCCCAGGAAACCCAUCUGUCAAGGUUGUUUGCCCUGAAGAGAGAGAGGUCUUGUUUGACUUUGUUCAGAUGAAAAAGAUAAAAAUGGCAUCGUGCUUCCUGACCAACAAUCAGAGAUGUUAAUAUUUCUGAGCUAAGCUGUUGAACAUGGUUACUUCUCAGAGGGUGGGUUUGUUUGGGAGGGGGAAGUGAAAUAAACUUGAUUGCACCACCCCAGUUUUUGUUAAGCCCUCUCUCCUGUCCACUCUCCACCCCCGAGGCUCUCAGCCGGGCACUCAGUGCAGAGCCUAGUACCCUGGCUGUUGCUUCCUCUCCAGCAGACUCAGCAUCUUUCCUGGCAUCUACCAUGGUGGGAGCUGAAGCAUGAAGAACUAUAGAUCCCAUGCCCUGGCCCCACAUGACCAGAUCCCUUGGAGGGUCUGCUUCUGCCUUCCCUCCCAGACUUCAGUGAUGUUCAAGGAUCUCCUUGCUCAAAGCCUACAGGCUCUGGGAUGCCCGCAUGGGGCAAACUGGCCAAUAAAGAACAAGACAGCUGUUGGAGGAUAUGAUCUUGCCAAAUGAGAGAUUAAACCAAGAAACAAUAAGUCACAGGAUCUAGAACACACAGGCUCAAAAAUAAGACAAUGGCAAAAGGAAGUCGAGACAGUUCUCUGAAUUCCUUCUCUGCUACUACACGACCUCUCUUAAGUACUGAAUGAAAGAACAGAUGAAUUAAAAAUGCUUUGAAAAAGUGUUUGAUAGCAAACAUCCUUACACUGACUAGCCUGCAGAGCAGAGCCUUAACGAACAAAUAAUCUUACAUGAAUUUAGUGCUGACUGCAACAAGAUUACCAGCAUUUCCUUAUCAGUCUUUCAGCUAAGCAUAGAAUUUUAGUUUGGGGCCAGGCACAGUGGCUCAUGCCUAUAAUCCUCGCACUUUGGGAGGCCGAGGUGGGCGGAUCACCUGAGGUCACGAGUUCGAGACCAGAC